CUCCUCUCAGUAUCGCACCUGGAGAGUUUCCAGUACUCUACCAGUCUCGGCUAUGGGAGGGAGAGUGGAGCAGAGGCAAACCCAUUCCAUUUGUAGCUUAGGCAGUGGCUAGCCAAUGGAAGGCCAACUGCUACAAGU